UACGUAGGGGGCAAGCGUUGUCCGGAAUCAUUGGGCGUAAAGAGCGCGUAGGCGGCCCAGUCAGUCCGCUCUGAAAGUCAGGGGCUUAACCCCUGAAUGCGGGUGGAUACUGCUGGGCUAGAGUCCGGAAGAGGCGAGUGGAAUUCCUGGUGUAGCGGUGAAAUGCGCAGAUAUCAGGAAGAACACCAAUGGCGAAGGCAGCUCUCUGGGACGGUACUGACGCUGAGACGCGAAAGCGUGGGGAGCGAACAGG
rnacentral:rRNA from 1 species